GGGGCAUUGGCACAGUUGGUAGUGCGCUACAUUCGCAUUGUAGAGGUCAGGGGUUCGACUCCCCUAUGCUCCACCA
rnacentral:tRNA from 1 species